rnacentral:rRNA from 1 species
CGUGGGGUACUGCGAGGGAUCAUUACACAAAUAUGAAGGCGGGCUGGAACCUCUCGGGGUUACAGCCUUGCUGAAUUAUUCACCCUUGUCUUUUGCGUACUUCUUGUUUCCUUGGUGGGUUCGCCCACCACUAGGACAAACAUAAACCUUUUGUAAUUGCAAUCAGCGUCAGUAACAAAUUAAUAAUUACAACUUUCAACAACGGAUCUCUUGGUUCUGGCAUCGAUGAAGAACGCAGCGAAAUGCGAUAAGUAGUGUGAAUUGCAGAAUUCAGUGAAUCAUCGAAUCUUUGAACGCACAUUGCGCCCUUUGGUAUUCCAAAGGGCAUGCCUGUUCGAGCGUCAUUUGUACCCUCAAGCUUUGCUUGGUGUUGGGCGUCUUGUCUCUAGCUUUGCUGGAGACUCGCCUUAAAGUAAUUGGCAGCCGGCCUACUGGUUUCGGAGCGCAGCACAAGUCGCACUCUCUAUCAGCAAAGGUCUAGCAUCCAUUAAGCCUUUUUUCAACUUUGACCUCUGGAUGAACAGGUUCACGUAUUAUACAAUUUUUCGUUUGG